rnacentral:rRNA from 1 species
UACGUAGGAUGCAAGCGUUGUCCGGAAUUACUGGGCGUAAAGCGCACGCAGGCGGUUCGCCAAGUUUGGCGUGACAGUUGUCGGCUCAACCGACAAAGGACUUCAAAAACUGGUGAACUUGAGGACGAGAGAGGAACAUGGAACUCCAGGUGUAGUAGUGAAAUGCGUAGAUAUCUGGAAGAACACCAAUGGCGAAGGCAAUGUUCUGGCUCGUUUCUGACGCUCAGGUGCGAAAGCCAGGGGAGCGAACGGG